UACGUAGGGUGCAAGCGUUGUCCGGAAUUAUUGGGCGUAAAGAGCUCGUAGGCGGUUUGUUGCGUCGGCUGUGAAAUCCCGAGGCUCAACCUCGGGUCUGCAGUCGAUACGAGCAAACUAGAGUGUUGCAGGGGAGACUGGAAUUCCUGGUGUAGCGGUGAAAUGCGUAGAUAUCAGGAGGAACACCGGUGGUGUAGACGGCUCUCUGGACCGUAACUGACGCUGAGACACGAAAGCGUGGGUAGCAAACAGG
rnacentral:rRNA from 1 species